UACGGAGGGUGCAAGCGUUAAUCGGAAUUACUGGGCGUAAAGCGCGCGUAGGCGGUUACAUAAGUUGGAGGUGAAAUCCCCGGGCUCAACCUGGGAACUGCUUUCAAAACUGUGUGACUAGAGUGCAGCAGAGGAUAGUGGAAUUUCUAGUGUAGCGGUGAAAUGCGUAGAUAUUAGAAGGAACACCAGUGGCGAAGGCGACUGUCUGGGCUGACACUGACGCUGAGGUGCGAAAGCGUGGGGAGCAAACAGGAUUAGAUACCCCCGUAGUCC
rnacentral:rRNA from 1 species